GUGCUCGCUUCUGCAGCCUAUAUACUAAAAUUGGAAUGAUACAGAGAAGAUUAGCAUGACCUCUGCACAAGGAUGACACAUAAAUUCCUGAAGUGUUCCAUAUUUUU
rnacentral:snRNA from 1 species